rnacentral:misc_RNA from 1 species
GAAAUAUGAAGAUUUUCAGAAAAACAAGAUCUCAAAAAUGAUAUUUGUUCAGAAGUUGAGGCAAAUAGCUGGAGAUACAUCACUACUUAAGAGUUGUCAUGAUAUUGUAUCCAAACAUUAAGGUAGAGCAAGGGGUCUGACUCUGUAUUUUCCUUAUUUUUUUUUAUUUAACUAUUACUAUUGUAAUAUUGUAAACUCUGUGAUAACUAUAGUCUAUAGAGUAUUUAGUUGAGCAAGUUAAUUG